GCGGGAGUAGCUCAGUUGGUAGAGCGCAACCUUGCCAAGGUUGAUGUCGCGAGUUCGAGUCUCGUCUCCCGCU
rnacentral:tRNA from 4 species